AAAUUGACGUUCACCAUUCACCACUGUUCGUUUCAUAGACAAAGCACAUUGUCUAUGGUUCGUUUGUUGUAGUGUAACGAGUAAAGUAAUUGCUGAACCUUUGUUGAAUUUUGAAGUUUGUGUAAAGACAUUAGCUAUAGAUACUGGAUUGAUACAAUACAAAGACAUAGUUUGUGAAUUGUGUGUGUGUUUUCAUAGCUGUGAUUUAAAGAUGAGUGGUGGUAACACAUGUACCAUAGUUACAUGCAAAAGCAAUUCCAGAAUUUCUGAUUCAGGUGUACACAAAAUCUCCUUUUUUACAUUUCCUAAAGAUCCUAACAUUGUUAAAGAAUGGGUAAGAGUAUGUUGUCGUAAGGAUAAGUGGAACCCUAAAAAUAAGCGAAUAUGUAGCAAGCACUUCCUUUUAUCUGAUUAUGAAGAUGAACUUCAAGCCCGUUUACUGAAUUAUCAUCCAAAACACUUAAAAAAAGAUGCUAUCCCAACAUUAUUUCUUCCGUUUAGUGAUAAUGAAGCACUGGAGGUUUCUGAAAGUGCUCAUCGCAGGGUUUCAAGAGAAAAUAAAGACAAUGAUUUGUGACUCAGGGAGGUAUGCAUGAUCAUCUUUUCUCCGUUAAGUGGCCUAUAUAGGAUACAAAUUACUCUGCUUGGAAAAAAUCCUGGUUUUGUGUCGAAACAUUACAAUGUGGAAUCUUCCCCAAGGUUACAAGAGGAUCAAUUGUUAUUGGCAGAUGUCUUCAAACAGGCGAAUUAACGGAGAGAUCAAUUUUAGAUUAUGAGAGUACAACCUCAUCAUCAGUUAGCAGUACUUCCAAACAGAAUUUGAAAAGGACUGCUUAGCCUAUACACGGUCUCUGAUAAGUUUGGAAACGGUCGAUUUAUCAGUGUACAAGAUAUCGAAAUAUGUUUUAUACAAGAGUUUUGGGGUUCUUCAAUGUCUACUAGGCGGUAAUAAUUUUAAUUAUACAAGGUUGUUCAUAAAGGCAUGGCACACCCUGUAUAUUAUUCAAUAUUGCAAUUCUUCUCUAAAUUUUAACUUAUCGAUAAUGUACCAUAAUUCAAUCGUUUCAGGGUUAUCGAGUUUUGAAAAUAAACGCUAUUAUUUUAAAAGUCAUAAUAUAAUUGACCAAAAAACAAUAAUUAAUGAUUUCAAAUAAUCAUAACGAAAUUCGCAAACCCUGUAUAAUUAAAAUUACUACUGCCUACUAGACAUUAAAGAACCUCAAAUCUUUUGUAUAAAACUUUUUGAUACCUUGUAUAGUUUCCCCAAUAAUCGACUGUUUCCAGACUUAUCAGCGACCCUGUAUAGCAGGAUAUUUGGCCAAGAAGCACAACACGAACUAUCCGCACCUAGGACAAUAUGUAUCAGGCAGAAAUGGGAGGACAGUUACAUUCCUACAACGCAUACCUUCAUGGCUACAAAGUUUAUCUUUAGUAGGUCUUACCAAGCCAUCGCAAAUGUGAUUGGAACAAGAACAAAAAUGGACAAAUACUUUGAAAAAGUACAUAAAAGAGAUGUUGAGAAUAAAAGAGAUUUAAGAGAAACAGCAAAAUUUAUUGGAAAAAGAGUAGCAGAUGCGCCAAAGGAAUUUGUUCAUUUGUUUACUAAUUAAAGAAUUUCUAUACGUAUUAAAUUUUUAAAUUACAAGAAAGUUAUGAAUUAAAGAUAUUUUUCAUUGUG